AGAGUUUGAUCCUGGCUCAGGAUGAACGCUAGCGGCAGGCUUAAUACAUGCAAGUCGAGGGGCAGCACAGGUAGCAAUACUGGGUGGCGACCGGCAAACGGGUGCGGAACACGUACAGAACCUUCCUUUAAGUGGGGGAUAGCCCAGAGAAAUUUGGAUUAAUACCCCGUAAUAUUAUGGAGUGGCAUCACUUUAUAAUUAUAGAUUUAUCGCUUAAAGAUGGCUGUGCGGCUGAUUAGGUAGUUGGCGGGGUAACGGCCCACCAAGCCUUCGAUCAGUAACUGGUGUGAGAGCACGACCAGUCACACGGGCACUGAGACACGGGCCCGACUCCUACGGGAGGCAGCAGUAAGGAAUAUUGGUCAAUGGACGCAAGUCUGAACCAGCCAUGCCGCGUGAAGGAUGAAGGUCCUCUGGAUUGUAAACUUCUUUUAUCUGGGACGAAACCCGGGAAUUCUUUUCCGAUUGACGGUACCAGAGGAAUAAGCACCGGCUAACUCCGUGCCAGCAGCCGCGGUAAUACGGAGGGUGCAAGCGUUAUCCGGAUUCACUGGGUUUAAAGGGUGCGUAGGUGGGUUUGUAAGUCAGCGGUGAAAUCUCCGGGCUUAACUCGGAAACUGCCAUUGAUACUAUAGAUCUUGAAUUUUCUGGAGGUAAGCGGAAUAUGUCAUGUAGCGGUGAAAUGCUUAGAUAUGACAUAGAACACCAAUUGCGAAGGCAGCUUGCUACAGGAAUAUUGACACUGAGGCACGAAAGCGUGGGGAUCAAACAGGAUUAGAUACCCUGGUAGUCC
rnacentral:rRNA from 1 species